UACAGAGGGUGCUAGCGUUGUUCGGAAUCAUUGGGCGUAAAGGGCGUGUAGGCGGUUUGUUAAGUCAUGUGUGAAACCCCUCGGCUCAACCGGGGAACGACGCAUGAAACUGGCAAGCUAGAGUACCAAAGAGGGGGGUGGAAUUCCCGGUCGUAGCGGUGAAAUGCGUAGAAUAUCGGGAGGAACACCAGUGGCGAAGGCGCGUUUCUGGGCGUGCAUCUGACGCUGAGGCGCGAAAGCUAGGGGAGCAAACAGG
rnacentral:rRNA from 1 species